UGCUUGAUAAAAUUUGGGGCGUUAUAUCAAGCAUAAUAUCAUCACCCUCAAAUAGAUUCUUCAUACAUACACUCAUUUCCGAGUCUUUUGCACCGCCAAAUGGAAAAGGCAUAGAGGGACUUGACAACGUUUGGUUUUAAAUAUGACAUUCCAACGCCGGUGACAUCUACUUUGUCCAACAGUAAAGUCUUCAGGAAUAGCUUGUCAUGCAAAAAAAAAUAUUUAUUAAUUUUUUCUAAAACAUAUGGAUACUAUUCUCAUUCCUAUAUAUAUAUAUAUUUUUUUUUUUUAAUUUGCUAAUUUUUCUAUACGGAAAUGGAGUUGGGAUCCAAAGUUAUGCAAUUCUUUUCUUGAAGGAAAAAUUAUGCGAUUAUGUGUUCAAUGUAUUUGAUGUAAUAAGAGUAACAAAAUUCAGCCAUGGUUUAAUUGUAACAAACCGGUUUUAAGUUUGGUUUGUACCACUUAAUUAGGUCAUUUAAAUUAAUUAAUUGUAACAAAUUGAUAUUUAAGUUUUUUCAGUAUCAAUUAGGUCCUUUAAGUUACUUAACCGUAACAAUUUGAGGUAUUUCAUAUCUUAAAAAUGUAAGUUAUUCAGGGCUUAAAAGUUACAAUUAAAUAACUUAAAGACCUAAGUGUUUCGAAAUAUACUUUAAAGACUAAAUUAUUACAAUUAAAUAACUUAAAUGACGUAAGUGAUACAUAAAAAUUUAAAGGAUCAAUAUGUUACAAUUAAAUAAUUUAAAGAACCUCCCGUGUAAUUUAGUGCAUCUUACCUUGAAGUAUAUUCUCUAUUCUUUUUAAUUCAUUCAUAAACUACUUUGAUGUCAAUUUUGUUUUAAGCUAUUAUGUAUUUUUUUUUUUAAAACUUAUAUAAGUAAAAUCAAUCUUAUUUUACUUUCGAGUUUUUCGAGUUUUGAAGAUUUAAUCUAUGUUAUUAUUUCAAUGGGGUAAUAAUAUAAAUGGUUUUGCUAUGAAAUAUCCAUCAAGAAAAUAGAAUGUGUGGUUUAGCAUUGAACACCUUUUGAUUUGGACAAAAAACUCCAACUUUUCUUUUUGAAAAAACAAAGUCAAGCUAAAGGGUAAGUUUGUAAUUUGAUUAUUUUUUUCAUUAAUGCGUUAAUCAAGCUCUUCUUCUCUAACCUACUUUGUCAUUCAUUAGGAGCAUCACCUUGUUCAGACCUUCUUCUUUUUUUCUCCUAAUUUUUUUACUUCUUCUCUCUUGGCAGUUCGCAACUGCGCUGCAACAAAUUUCUAUUUUCUCCUCAAUUCACUAUUUCAUCCAUUCCAUUCAAAUGGAAACAAUAUCUUGUUUUUUAAUUAAUAAAUUGUAAUUCAUUCCCCUCAUUUCCUCGUUCAAAUUAAAAGUAUAAGAAAUCCAUCCAUUCAGUUGUCGUUGGGAAUAAACCUAAAGGAGCAAUUUCUUCGCACAAUAUUUUGGUUGAUUGUGAAAUUGAGAUUAUUACUUUUAUUUUUGGAAGAUUAAUUUCUGGUUAAAUUUUAGUUGGGCGAGAAGAGCUUUUUAUUGUUUUUGGACGAGAGAAGGGGCACAAAAGCUGAAAUAUAAAAAAAUAAACUAUUAAAAUUAAAUUGUGAAUGACAGACUUGCCCUUUAGUUUGACUUGUUCUCAAGAAGGAAAGUUGGAGUUUUUUCUCUAAAUCAAAAGGUGUUCAAUGCUAAAACACACCUUCUAUUUUUUUAUGGGUGUUUCAUAGCAAAACCCAUAUUUGUAAUGUUUCAUAGCAAAACUCAUUUGACUUUAUUUUUGUCCUUAAAUGUAAACUUCUUUUUAAAUUACUAGAUGCCUUUAUUAUUUAUUUUUCUUAAAUAUACCUCUAAUUAAUACUACUAACUUGUCUUAAAAUUGAAAAAAUUAAAUUUAAUACACAUACAAACAAAUGACAAUUUAAUAAUAUUGACACACAAAACAAACACAUUAAUUAUACUGAUAACUUUUCUUAAGAAAUGUGAAGAAGAAAAAAACAAAGGAGCUUAAUAUAAGGAAGGAUGGAGUAUUUUUUUUUUUUUUCUUUUCAAGUACAUAAUAAGAGUUAGUCCACAAAAUCAUAUGUAUAGUAUUUAUGCACAUGUAUAAAAAGACAUUUUUUUAAAUGCUAAAGUAAAAUUGAUUUAACAUUUUGAGGAUAAAUAUCUCAUUGUAUGUGCGGAUGUCUACUAAGACCAUGUACAAUGGUUCAACACAAUAAUACCAUUCAACAUCCACUUUUUCAAUUCCCAACACUCCACGUCAUUUUCUCUCUCUUAAUUCAACACCCAUUCAAUUUUUACAUCUCCAAUGAUUUUUUCAUUCAACACCCUACCCCACCACCUUUUAUUUCUUAUUCUUUAUUUAAUUUUAUAUUUUUGUUUUUAUAAUUACAUAAAAUUAAAAUUAUCGAUUAUAAUUAAAUUAAAAAAAACUUAACUUUUUUUUUUUGUAAAAACAAAAUUUAUUUAAAUAAUUUAUUUAUAUUUUCUUAACUUAAAUUAGAAUAAUUUUGGUUGUUGAAAUGGUUAUUAUUGGGAUCCAUUUCACUAAAAAUAAGAUUAAAACUUCACUUAAUUUGCUAAUAGAAAGAUAAUAAUAAGAAGAAGAUAGUGAAUAACUUGGUUUUUUUUUUCUGUGUCCAAAUCAAAUGAACCAAGUCUCUAUUUAUAGAGAAAAAAAAUCAUGAAUUUUGGUAUAAUUUUUUUAAAAAAAUUAAUUUACAACGAAAUAAUUGAGGUUAAAUUAUGAAAAUGAUAAGAAUCGGGACAACCAAUUAAAACGUGCCACGUGUCCUUAUCUAUCCAAAAAUCAUUUUCUCUCUCCGCGCUCUGCACGCUCACGCGUCAGUUUUCAGCGAAUGGCAGCGCGCCACAUGGCAAUCCGGUCUGCAUUCAAUUGUGUUGAAUUGGUUCAUCCUCCCUCUCAUCCAACACACCAUUCAACUACCAUUAAACAUACCAUUGUAAAUGGUCGAAGAGAAAAGCUAGACCCAAGUGGACCCUCAAACAAAUGAUAUGGUACACAUUAAUUUUUCUUCUUCUUUUAACACACAUAUUUUUAUGUUAUUGGAUAGAUAUAGAUUUUUUUUUUUUUGUUGACAAAGAUAGAUAUAGAUUUGAACACGUGUAGUAACCGAUAUUCAAAUAAAAUGGAUCUAGUAACCAAUAUUGUUUUUGACCAAUCGUGAAUGGUUGCAACAUUCAUAAAAAAUAUUAACAUUCAUAGCUAUAUAUAUAUAUAUAUAUAUAUAUAUAUAUAUAUAUAUAUAUAUAUAUAUAUAUAUAUAUAUAUAUAUAUAUAUAUAUAUUCUUGAGUCAAUGAAGUAUUUGGCAAAAUUAUAGGUACAAAUUAAAUCGUCUAACUACUUUUGCGAAUAUAUAAUCUGUCAAAUACGAGUCAUCCUUACUUUUUUAUUUAUUUUUUAUUUUAUAUUUUUUUUAAGGAAUCCUUAGUUUUUGUAUAGAUAGAAACUGUCCAAACUAUUUUUUAUCCAUCAAUCAAUACACCCAAUUUACUAAAAUUUUUAUAUUCACUCGGUUGAAAAUUUCAUCUUUACACUAUGUUUCUUACUUUAAUUAACCUUGUCAAACUUACUUACUUAAGUUUCUGGUUUGUUUAAACCUACAUGAACUUAUACAUAAGAGCUUAUCAUGUGAAACAUUUAUUCUAUAAGCUGUUUAUCCAACUGGGCAAAAUCAUAAAUAAUUAUCCAUACAAUUAUUAGUAAUGCAAAUUUUACGGUACUUAAGAAUAGUUCAUACAAAUAUUGAAUCUACAAAGGAUAGUUGAAAAUAUGCAUACAUAAGCAAGUAAUUAAUAAGCAAAAACUUAUGCUAGUAGAUCCAUAGUUAUUAUAAGUACAUGUAGUAUAAUGAUUAAUACAUAUAUGGAAGGAUCAACUUAUGGUAGUAGAUAAUCAUAAUUAAUAUAUAGUAAAUAGGAAGAAAAUUACUUAAUAAUACGGAGGACGUGGCGGUGGAGGACCGGGAUGACCAGGCUGUGGUGGCGGUGGAGCAGGAUGAGCAUGAAGUGGUGUAUGAUGGUGGUGGACAACUGGUGGUGGAGCGUAAGGAUUUGGAGGAGGGGGUGGAUGGUGGAAAACAGGUGGUGGGGGAGCAAAAGGAUCAUGAGGAGGUGGAGGGUGGUGAGAGUGGGGCAUAGGUGGUGGUGGUGGACCUGGACCAAGUGGUGGACCUCUUCCCAUGAUCGGAGGUCCUGGUGGUGGAGGAUUGUGCCUAUGGUUGUGAGGAUAACUCAUGCUUAAUUAUUUUCUUACUAGUGAAUUCAAAAGUCUAUAUAGUAAAUAAUUUAUUUAGAAGGUUGAAGAGAAGAUUGUGAAUUUGUCCUUGAUGACACGAGGGACUGACUUAUGGCUGGGAAUGGGAAUUGUUGUUGCUGUUGACUAGUUGUUUAUGUAAAUAAUAAUGUUAGUGCUAUCUAGAACGACAUUAGAAAUAAUUAAUAUGUCGGCAAUCCCAUCAGUAACUUCCACUUGAGAUAUUUGUGGUUUGAGUAGCGUUAG
rnacentral:lncRNA from 1 species